AACGAACGCUGGCGGCAGGCUUAACACAUGCAAGUCGAACGCAUGCCUUCGGGCAUGAGUGGCAGACGGGUGAGUAACGCGUGGGAACCUACCCCUUGGUACGGGAUAGCUCCGGGAAACUGGAGAUAAUACCGUAUGUGUCCUGAGGGACAAAGAUUCAUCGCCAAGGGAUGGGCCCGCGUCGGAUUAGCUAGUUGGUGGGGUAACGGCCUACCAAGGCGACGAUCCGUAGCUGGUCUAAGAGGAUGAUCAGCCACAUUGGGACUGAGACACGGCCCAAACUCCUACGGGAGGCAGCAGUGGGGAAUAUUGGACCAUGGGCGCAAGCCUGAUCCAGCCAUGCCGCGUGAGUGAUGAAGGCCCUAGGGUUGUAAAGCUCUUUCACCGGUGACGAUAAUGACGGUAACCGGAGAAGAAGCCCCGGCUAACUUCGUG
rnacentral:rRNA from 1 species